rnacentral:rRNA from 1 species
AGGAUUCCCCCAGUAACGGCGAGUGAAGAGGGAACAGCCCAAAUUUGUAAUCUGGCCCUUUCAGGGUCCGAGUUGUAAUCUCGAGGAACUGUUUUCCGUGCUGGACCGCGUACAAGUCUGUUGGAAUAUAGCUUCAUAGAGGGUGAGAAUCCCGUACAUGACGCGGACUACCAGUGCAAUGUGAUACAGUCUCUAAGAGUCGAGUUGUUUGGGAAUGCAGCUCAAAAUGGGUGGUAAAUUCCAUCUAAGGCUAAAUAUUGGCGAGAGACCGAUAGCGAACAAGUACCGUGAGGGAAAGAUGAAAAGCACUUUGGAAAGAGAGUUAACAGUACGUGAAAUUGUUGAAAGGGAAACGCUUGAAGUCAGUCUUGUACUUGGUUGUUCAGCCUUCGGGUGUAUUCAACUUUGAACAGGCCAGCAUCAGUUUUAGAUGUCGGAUAAGGGUAAAGGAAACGUAGCAGCUUCGGCUGUGUUAUAGUCCUUUGCUUGAUACGACGUCCGGGAMUGAGGAACGCAGUGCACGCCGUAUGGCGGGCCCUUGGGCCUUCUCACUAUGGAUGUUCGGCGUAAUGGCUUUAAACGACCCGUCUUGAAACACGGACCAAGGAGUCUAACAUGCUUGCGAGUGUUUGGGUGUCAAACCCGGGCGCGUAAUGAAAGUGAAUGUAGGUGGGAAUCGCAAGAUGCACCAUCGACCGCGUCCCGGAAUUUUUAAUGAUGGAUCUGAGUAAGAGCAAGUAUGUUGGGACCCGAAAGAUGGUGAACUAUGCCUGAAUAGGGCGAAGCCAGAGGAAACUCUGGUGGAGGCUGCGCAGCGGUUCUGACGUGCAAAUCGCAUCGUCGAAUUUGGGU